GACGAACGCUGGCGGCGUGCCUAAUACAUGCAAGUCGAGCGCAGGAAGCUGACGGAACUCUUCGGAGAGAAGGCAGUGGAAUGAGCGGCGGACGGGUGAGUAACACGUAAGGAACCUGCCUCAAGGAUUGGGAUAACUCCGAGAAAUCGGAGCUAAUACCGGAUAGUUCAACGGACCGCAUGGUCCGCUGAUGAAAGGCGCUUCGGCGUCACCUUGAGAUGGCCUUGCGGUGCAUUAGCUAGUUGGUGGGGUAACGGCCCACCAAGGCGACGAUGCAUAGACGACCUGAGAGGGUGAUCGGCCACACUGGGACUGAGACACGGCCCAGACUCCUACGGGAGGCAGCAGUAGGGAGUCUUCCACAAUGGACGAAAGUCUGAUGGAGCAACGCCGCGUGAGUGAUGAAGGUUUUCGGAUCGUAAAACUCUGUUGUAAGGGAAGAACACGUACGAGAGGGAAUGCUCGUACCUUGACGGUACCUUACGAGAAAGCCACGGCUAACUACGUGCCAGCCGCCGCCGUAA
rnacentral:rRNA from 1 species